rnacentral:rRNA from 1 species
AUUGAACGCUGGCGGCAUGCCUUACACAUGCAAGUCGAACGGCAGCAUGGGUGCUUGCACCUGAUGGCGAGUGGCGAACGGGUGAGUAAUGCAUCGGAACGUGCCCUGAAGUGGGGGAUAACGUAGCGAAAGUUACGCUCAUACCGCAUAUUCUGUGAGCAGGAAAGGAGGGGUUCGCAAGACCUUGCGCUUUAGGAGCGGCCGAUGUCGGAUUAGCUAGUUGGUGAGGUAAAGGCUCACCAAGGGGACGAUCCGUAGCGGGUCUGAGAGGAUGAACCGCCACGCUGGGACUGAGACACGGCCCAGACUCCUACGGGAGGCAGCAGUGGGGAAUUUUGGGCAAUGGGCGCAAGCCUGAUCCAGCCAUGCCGCGUGAGUGAAGAAGGCCUUCGGGUUGUAAAGCUCUUUCGGUGGGGAAGAAAUGGUUUCGGUUAAUACCCGGAGCUGAUGGCGGUACCCGCAUAAGAAGCACCGGCUAACUACGUGCCAGCCGCCGCAGUAA